GCCUCCUUGGCCAAGUGGUAAGGCGUCGCACUUGUAAUGCGAAGAUCGCUCGUUCGAUUCGGGUAGGUGGCA
rfam:Ascochyta rabiei strain ArDII scaffold_165, whole genome shotgun sequence.